AUAAGAUAUCAAGGGCAACAGGUGAAUGCCUUGGCGCUGAGAGGCGAUGAAAGACGCGGUAAGCUGCGAUAAGCAUCGGGGAGGAGCUAAACAUCCUACGAUCCGAUGAUUUCUGAAUGGGGAAACCCGAUGGGAGUCAUGUCCCAUCAUCCUGAGCUGAAUAUAUAGGCCCAGAGAAGCCAACCCGGGGAAGUGAAACAUCUCAGUACCCGGAGGAAGAGAAAUCAAACGAGACUCCCAAAGUAGCGGCGAGCGAAAUGGGAAGAGCCCAAACCGAGUGGUUUCGACCAUUCGGGGUUGUAGGGCCGGCAUACGCGAUUCUGGAGUAGGCAGAGGAAGUGAGCUGGAAAGCUCCGCCACAGCGGGUGAUAGCCCCGUACUCGAAACCGAAAAGGACGCAGCCGGUACCUGAGUACUGCGAGGCACGUGGAACCUCGUGGGAAUCUAGGGGGACCAUCCUCUAAGGCUAAGUACUCCUCAGCGACCGAUAGUGAACUAGUACCGUGAGGGAAAGGUGAAAAGAACCCCUGUUAGGGGAGUGAAAUAGAAUCUGAAACCUGUUGCCUACAAGCUGCGAGAGCUACUUCGGUAGUGAUCGCGUGCCUUUUGUAUAAUGAGUCAGCGAGUUACUCUACCGUGCGAGGUUAAGCGAAAGCGUAGCCGUAGUGAAAGCGAGGCUUAAUAGGCCGACUAGUACGUUGGAGUAGACCCGAAACCGGGUGAUCUAUCCAUGAGCAGGUUGAAGCAAGGGUAAAGCCUUGUGGAGGACCGAACCGUCAACGGCUGAAAACGUUCCGGAUGACUUGUGGAUAGGGGUGAAAGGUCAAUCAAACCCGGUGAUAGCUGGUUCUCCCCGAAAUAUAUUGAGGUAUAGCCUCGGGAAUUGAUUAGCGGAGGUAAAGCACUGACAGAGCUAGGGGUCCUACCAGAUUACCAAACUCUAUCAAACUCAGAAUGCCGCUUAAUUGUAUCCCGGGAGUCAGACGGCGGGUGCGAAGGUUCGUCGUCAAAAGGGAAACAGCCCAGACCAACAGCUAAGGUCUCCAAAUCCAUGCUCAGUGGUGAAGGUAGUGGAACCGUUUAGACAGCCAGGACGUUGGCUUAGAAGCAGCCAUCGUUUAAAGAAAGCGUAAUAGCUCACUGGUCUAAUGGCUCUGCGCCGAAAAUGUAACGGGGCUAAGCAUGGUACCGAAGCUUUGGCAAUCUCCUUUGGAGAUUGGGUAGGGGAGCGUUCGCUGCGGGCUGAAGGUGUAUCGGAAGGUAUGCUGGACUGCAGUGAAGUGAUUAUGCUGACAUGAGUAACGAUAAAAUAUGUGAAAAACAUAUUCGCCGAAAACCCGAGGUUUCCUGGGUAAAGGUAAUCUUCCCAGGGUUAGUCGGAUCCUAAGGUGAGGGUGAAAGCCGUAACCGAUGGAAAACAGGUUAAUAUUCCUGUACUUGUUGUGUAGCGCGAUGGAGGGACGCAGGAAGAUAGGCGGGCCGGGUGUUGGAUAUCCCGGUGCAAGCGUGUAGGAAUAUCCGGUAGGCAAAUCCGCCGGACGAAUCUGAGACGCGAGUCCGUGGGCGCAAGCCCUGAAGCCGUUGAGUCUAUGCUGCCUAGAAAAGCUCCUAAGUUUAUCCACAGCAAUCCGUACCGCAAACCAACUCAGGUGGGUGGGAUGAACAAUCCAAGGCGCUCGAGAGAACUCUGGCCAAGGAACUCGGCAAAAUAACCCCGUAACUUCGGAAGAAGGGGUGCUCUCUAGGGUGACAUGUUUAACAUAUGAAGCCCCGGGGAGCCGCAGUGAAUUGGUGGUGGCGACUGUUUACUAAAAACAUAGGUCUGUGCGAAGUCCUAAAGACGACGUAUACGGACUGACGCCUGCCCGGUGCUGGAAGGUUAAAAGGAGGGGUCAGCGCAAGCAAAGCUCCGAAUUGAAGCCCCAGUAAACGGCGGCCGUAACUAUAACGGUCCUAAGGUAGCGAAAUUCCUUGUCGGGUAAGUUCCG
rnacentral:rRNA from 1 species